rnacentral:tRNA from 1 species
GCCACGGUGGUCUAGCGGUAGGAACGCUGGCCUUGUAAUCCUGGGGUCUCGGGUUCGAUUCCCGGCGGUGCCC